UCUAUGACCAAGGCAGGGUCUUGAAGGC
rnacentral:sRNA from 1 species